GUCAGACACAGGACCGUACGCAAAGUUCUGUUGUACAAAUAAAAACCCUCCCCCACUGGCGAGUUUCUUGAAAGAAGUUGACCCGUCGUGCACAUUCAGCUGCGCAGCAAAAGUGCAUGCGUGUGCCAUCGCAGAGGAUAUGCGCUGUUUUAACGCAAUCGAACACUAUCCAUGUUGCCUUCCUUGACAACGGGAGGCAUGGUGGACUCAAACUCCUCUGUUCGCAUCUCCGGAUUUGUUCUUGGUUCAUUAAUGUUUCAGCACUUUUAACAGUGAUUCUGAUGUGGAAGGUCUCAUUCUUGGGGAGAGCAAAGCUGAAGAGAGAAGCAACAUCACUGAUUCUCAAAUCAACAACAUACAGUUUGAGCAUACAAUAAACAUUCAGAAACAUAUAUCCUGUCGCAAGCUCAAUAGGAGAAUGUGAUUGGUUGGUAUAAACAGCGGAGAAACACAGAUCAACAAAUGACCUUCAGAAAGCAAGUAGUCCAUGAGAACCUGAAGAGAGCAGUCUCCAAUCAGGAGCUGAUCUUUCUGCUACUGACACCCAGUGAGGUCACAUCAUCAGGCUCCACUCACACACUGGAGUAUGCGGUCUACAGAUCACAUUGCAGGUCUGAACUCUUGAGUUGCACUGUCUGAGUAUUCAAUACCGCAGCGUUCCUGUCCGGGUCAGCAACCUGGGUUUGUUGGAACAGCAGGACUACUGGAGACUGUCUGCAUCUUGUUCAUCAGUCAACUACAACCGUGCUGUUUGGAAACACAGAUAUAGACUAUUCUCCUUAGAUGGAUCCCUGCAGGAGGUGGAUGAGAUUAAUGAAAUGAACAACUCCUUGCAAGUCGAACUGAAGAUGGCAUGUCAGAAAGUGGAGGAGAGUGAGCGAUUGGUCGAGGAGCUGCUUGCAGAUGUUUCGUCUGUAAGGAGGACUGUCAGUGAGAGGAAACGAGUAGAAAAAAACAGAUGGAGACUCCACUCCAGCCUAGUCUCAGGAGAAUGUACUGCUCUGAGGCCAUUAAGACACUGUUCCCUGGGGCAGCUCUACUCCAAACACAGGCUCUAACCUUCCAGGGGUUCCCUGUGCCUGAAUUCUGCUGCAACACUGACCAUGGCAUAGACAUCACCACAACACUGCCUUUGAUCCUGACUCAUACGGUCCCCAAAGCCAGGAAGGGGAGGCUGGUUAGAAGUGGAGGGACGUCCUGGAGAAAACGUCCCCUAUGUGAAUCAUCUGAUGCGACCAAGAG